UGGGGAAUAUUGGACAAUAGGCGCAAGCCUGAUCCAGCCAUGCCGCGUGAGUGAUGAAGGCCCUAGGGUUGUAAAGCUCUUUCACCGGUGAAGAUAAUGACGGUAACCGGAGAAGAAGCCCCGGCUAACUUCGUGCCAGCAGCCGCGGUAAUACGAAGGGGGCUAGCGUUGUUCGGAUUUACUGGGCGUAAAGCGCACGUAGGCGGACUAUUAAGUCAGGGGUGAAAUCCCGGGGCUCAACCCCGGAACUGCCUUUGAUACUGGUAGUCUUGAGUUCGAGAGAGGUGAGUGGAAUUCCGAGUGUAGAGGUGAAAUUCGUAGAUAUUCGGAGGAACACCAGUGGCGAAGGCGGCUCACUGGCUCGAUACUGACGCUGAGGUGCGAAAGCGUGGGGAGCAAACAGG
rnacentral:rRNA from 1 species